UUUUAAUUGCUGUUCUAGACAACUGCUGUAAAUAACCAUUGUAACCAUUGUGUCAAUUUUUGUUUCCUUUAGUUGGGCACAUGGGUCUUGAAGUAGUUUUAGUUUUCUUCUGUUCAUUGACAGUGUGUUUAAUUUAAAAUUUUAAUUAAAAAAAAGUUAAUUUCACUUAUUAAAACUGUGAUAUGAACUCAAAAACUGCAAUUGAUUAACCAUAACUUAAACUGAAUAAAUACUGAAUCUGAAUCCCUCACACAUCCACCUGAAAAAAUGCGCUUUUAUUUUGACACGCGCCCAUCCCCCACAUCUCACGGUCGGAGUUGAGCUUCACAGAGCAGCGCAACAGGAGGACGACACGACAGACAUGAAGAGCAUUAGUUCAGCGCAAACGUUUCCCGCGCAAGUUUGAAUCUCUCUCAGUCAGGGGGGAUUGACUGACAGACGAACGUUACUCUACCAAACGGUUAUUCACUUAUAAAACCUUUUAAAGUUUAGCGCAAAUGUUUCCCGCGCAGGUUUGAAUCUCUCUUAGUCAAGGGGGAGAUUGACUGACAGACUAACGUUACUCUCUACCAAAUGGCUAUUCACUUAUAAAACCUUUUAAAGUUCAGCGCAAAUGUUUCCUGUGCAAGUUUGAAUCUCUCUCAGUCAGGUGGGAGAUUGACUGACAGACUAACGUUACUCUGUACCAAAUGGCUAUUCACUUAUAAAACCUUUUAAAGUUUAGCGCUAACGUUUCCAGCGCAAGUUUGAAUCUCUCUCAGUCAGUCAGGGGGGAGAUUGACUGACUGACUGACUACUCACCACCAAACUGUCAUUUACCCAGAAACCUUUUAAAGUUUAGCACAAACGUUUCCUGCACAAGUUUGAAUCUCUCUGUCAGGUGGGAGAUUGAUUGACUGACUGACUACUCGCCACCAAACAGUUAUUUACCCAGAAACCUUUUAAAGUUUAGCACAAACGUUUCCUGCGCAAGUUUGGAUCUUUACCAUUCAGGAGACUGGCUGACUGUUCUCAACUAACCAUCAUUCACACGCAAAAACUUUAAAGAUAAGUAUGAAAGUGCCCAGAGCAGUUUUCGAUGUUUACCAUUAAGGAGGCUGACUGACUAUCAUCUACCACCCGUCAUUAACACAACAAAAACUAAAGAAAUAUUACUCCAUAUGGACCUAUUCAUUUACUCAUUAUGCUGUGAGUACACCACAGUUUUAUCAGUGAAAAAAAUUUUAUUUGUGUGUUU